UGGGGAAUUUUGGACAAUGGGCGAAAGCCUGAUCCAGCCAUGCCGCGUGAGUGAAGAAGGCCUUCGGGUUGUAAAGCUCUUUUAGUCGGAAAGAAAGAGUUGCAAUGAAUAAUUGUGAUUUAUGACGGUACCGACAGAAAAAGCACCGGCUAACUACGUGCCAGCAGCCGCGGUAAUACGUAGGGUGCGAGCGUUAAUCGGAAUUACUGGGCGUAAAGGGUGCGCAGGCGGUCUUGAAAGUCAGAUGUGAAAGCCCCGGGCUUAACCUGGGAAUUGCGUUUGAAACUACAAGACUAGAGGGCAGCAGAGGGGAGUGGAAUUCCAUGUGUAGCAGUGAAAUGCGUAGAGAUGUGGAAGAACACCGAUGGCGAAGGCAGCUCCCUGGGUUGACACUGACGCUCAUGCACGAAAGCGUGGGGAGCAAACA
rnacentral:rRNA from 1 species